rnacentral:rRNA from 1 species
UACAGAGGUCCCAAGCGUUGUUCGGAUUCACUGGGCGUAAAGGGUGCGUAGGCGGUCGGGUAAGUCUGAUGUGAAAUCUCACAGCUUAACUGUGAAACUGCAUUGGAUACUAUUCGGCUUGAGAGUUGGAGGGGGGACUGGAAUUCUUGGUGUAGCAGUGAAAUGCGUAGAUAUCAAGAGGAACACCAGUGGCGAAGGCGAGUCCCUGGACAUUUCCUGACGCUGAGGCACGAAAGCCAGGGGAGCAAACGGG